AGAACGAACGCUGGCGGCAGGCCUAACACAUGCAAGUCGAACGCUCCGCAAGGAGAGUGGCAGACGGGUGAGUAACGCGUGGGAAUUUCCCCCAAGGUUCGGAAUAACUGAGGGAAACUUCAGCUAAUACCGAAUGGUACCGAGAGGUUAAAGAUUUAUCGCCUUGGGAUGAGCCCGCGUUGGAUUAGCUAGUUGGUGAGGUAACGGCUCACCAAGGCUUUGAUCCAUAGCUGGUCUGAGAGGACGACCAGCCACACUGGGACUGAGACACGGCCCAGACUCCUACGGGAGGCAGCAGUGGGAAUCUUGGACAAGUGGGCGCAAGCCUGAUCCAGCCAUGCCGCGUGGGCGAUGGAGGUCUUCGGAUUGUAAAGCCCGUUUUGGCGGGGACGAGUAAUGGACGGUACCCGCAGAAUAAGCUCCGGCUAACGUUCGUGCCAGCAGCCGC
rnacentral:rRNA from 1 species